UAGGUCACUUAUUUGAAGUGACUAUAUAAAGGACUUUAUAGCCUAAAUUCAUUAAGGGUUUCUUUUGGAGAAAAUUGGUGAGAACUUGUCUCUCCUUUUUCUCUCUAGGAGGCCGGCCCCCUUGGAGGGUGCAUCUAGCAAUCCCACUACUCCAAGGUCACUCAUUUCUUCUCCAAUCUUUCCUUGGUGUGGAGACUUAGAGGUUCUCAAUUUUGGGAACUUGGA
rnacentral:lncRNA from 1 species